rnacentral:piRNA from 1 species
CCCUCUUGCACUAGGAUGACCUACAAAGGG